rnacentral:rRNA from 1 species
UACGUAGGUGGCAAGCGUUGUCCGGAUUUACUGGGUGUAAAGGGCGUGCAGCCGGGCUGACAAGUCAGAUGUGAAAUCCCGCGGCUCAACCGCGGAACUGCAUUUGAAACUGUUAGUCUUGAGUAUCGGAGAGGUCAUCGGAAUUCCUUGUGUAGCGGUGAAAUGCGUAGAUAUAAGGAAGAACACCAGUGGCGAAGGCGGAUGACUGGACGGCAACUGACGGUGAGGCGCGAAAGCGCGGGGAGCAAACAGG